rnacentral:piRNA from 1 species
CACCGGCAGAAUGAAAAGGUCCUGAGGCAGC